rnacentral:rRNA from 1 species
UACGUAGGUGACUAGCGUUGUCCGGAUUUACUGGGCGUAAAGAGCGCGCAGGCGGUCGUUCAAGUCGAGUGUGAAAGCCCCCGGCUCAACUGGGGAGGGUCACGCGAUACUGGUCGACUCGAAGGCAGGAGAGGGUAGUGGAAUUCCCGGUGUAGUGGUGAAAUGCGUUGAUAUCGGAAGGAACGCCGGUGGCGAAAGCGACCUGCUGGACCUCUUCUGACGCUGAGGCGCGAAAGCCAGGGGAGCAAACGGG